rnacentral:tRNA from 1 species
AACGGUUUCCUAAACCGCAGGUCGCAUGUUCGAUUCAUGCCGGGGGCA